AAGAGCUUGCUGAGAUAGACGAUGGACAUUGCAAAGAGUGGCGAACGGGUGAGUAACACGUGGGAAACCUACCUCUUAGCAGGGGAUAACAUUUGGAAACAGAUGCUAAUACCGUAUAACAAUAGCAACCGCAUGGUUGCUACUUAAAAGAUGGUUCUGCUAUCACUAAGAGAUGGUCCCCGCGGUGCAUUAGUUAGUUGGUGAGGUAAUGACUCACCAAGACGAUGAUGCAUAGCCGAGUUGAGAGACUGAUCGGCCACAAUGGGACUGAGACACGGCCCAUACUCNUACGGGAGGCAGCAGUAGGGAAUCUUCCACAAUGGGCGAAAGCNUGAUGGAGCAACGCCGCGUGUGUGAUGAAGGGUUUCGGCUCGUAAAACACUGUUGUAAGAGAAGAAUGACAUUGAGAGUAACUGUUCAAUGUGUGACGGUAUCUUACCAGAAAGGAACGGCUAAAUACGUGCCAGCAGCCGCGGUAAUACGUAUGUUCCAAGCGUUAUCCGGAUUUAUUGGGCGUAAAGCGAGCGCAGACGGUUAUUUAAGUCUGAAGUGAAAGCCCUCAGCUCAACUGAGGAAUUGCUUUGGAAACUGGAUGACUUGAGUGCAGUAGAGGAAAGUGGAACUCCAUGUGUAGCGGUGAAAUGCGUAGAUAUAUGGAAGAACACCAGUGGCGAAGGCGGCUUUCUGGACUGUAACUGACGUUGAGGCUCGAAAGUGUGGGUAGCAAACAGGAUUAGAUACCCUGGUAGUCCACACCGUAAACGAUGAGUGCUAGGUGUUUGAGGGUUUCCGCCCUUAAGU
rnacentral:rRNA from 1 species